GAUGAACGCUGGCGGCGUGCCUAACACAUGCAAGUCGAGCGAACAGACGAGGAGCUUGCUCCUCUGACGUUAGCGGCGGACGGGUGAGUAACACGUGGAUAACCUACCUAUAAGACUGGGAUAACUUCGGGAAACCGGAGCUAAUACCGGAUAACAUGUUGAACCGCAUGGUUCAACAGUGAAAGACGGUUUUGCUGUCACUUAUAGAUGGAUCCGCGUCGCAUUAGCUAGUUGGUAAGGUAACGGCUUACCAAGGCAACGAUGCGUAGCCGACCUGAGAGGGUGAUCGGCCACACUGGAACUGAGACACGGUCCAGACUCCUACGGGAGGCAGCAGUAGGGAAUCUUCCGCAAUGGGCGAAAGCCUGACGGAGCAACGCCGCGUGAGUGAAGAAGGUCUUCGGAUCGUAAAACUCUGUUAUUAGGGAAGAACAAAUGUGUAAGUAACUAUGCACGUCUUGACGGUACCUAAUCAGAAAGCCACGGCUAACUACGUG
rnacentral:rRNA from 1 species